AACGAACGCUGGCGGCAGGCUUAACACAUGCAAGUCGAACGCCCCGCAAGGGGAGUGGCAGACGGGUGAGUAACGCGUGGGAACAUACCCUUUUCUACGGAAUAGCUCUGGGAAACUGGAAUUAAUACCGUAUACGCCCUACGGGGGAAAGAUUUAUCGGGGAAGGAUUGGCCCGCGUUGGAUUAGCUAGUUGGUGGGGUAAAGGCCUACCAAGGCGACGAUCCAUAGCUGGUCUGAGAGGAUGAUCAGCCACAUUGGGACUGAGACACGGCCCAAACCCCUACGGGAGGCAGCAGUGGGGAAUAUUGGACAAUGGGCGCAAGCCUGAUCCAGCCAUGCCGCGUGAGUGAUGAAGGCCUUAGGGUUGUAAAGCUCUUUCACCGAUGAAGAUAAUGACGGUAGUCGGAGAAGAAGCCCCGGCUAACUUCGUGCCAGCAGCCGCCGUAAUAC
rnacentral:rRNA from 1 species